GUGGGGAAUCUUAGACAAUGGGGGAAACCCUGAUCUAGCCAUGCCGCGUGAGCGAUGAAGGCCUUAGGGUUGUAAAGCUCUUUCAGCUGGGAAGAUAAUGACGGUACCAGCAGAAGAAGCCCCGGCUAACUCCGUGCCAGCAGCCGCGGUAAUACGGAGGGGGCUAGCGUUGUUCGUAAUUACUGGGCGUAAAGCGAACGUAGGCGGAUCAGAAAGUCAGAGGUGAAAUCCGAGGGCUCAACCUUGGGACUGCCUUUGAAACUCCUUGGCUUGAGGUCGAGGGAGGUGAGUGGAAGUCCGAGUGUAGAGGUGACAUUCGUAGAUAUUCGGAGGAACACCAGUGGCGAAGGCGGCUCACUGGCUCGAUACUGACGCUGAGGUGCGAAAGCGUGGGGAGCAAACAGGAUUAGAAACCCUUGUAGUCC
rnacentral:rRNA from 1 species